GAGACAGCAGUAGCCGCGGUAAUACGUAGGGUGCAAGCGUUGUCCGGAAUUAUUGGGCGUAAAGAGCUCGUAGGCGGUUUGUCGCGUCUGCUGUGAAAUCCCGAGGCUCAACCUCGGGCUUGCAGUGGGUACGGGCAGACUAGAGUGCGGUAGGGGAGAUUGGAAUUCCUGGUGUAGCGGUGGAAUGCGCAGAUAUCAGGAGGAACACCGAUGGCGAAGGCAGAUCUCUGGGCCGUAACUGACGCUGAGGAGCGAAAGCGUGGGGAGCGAACAGGAUUAGAUACCCCCGUAGUCCCUGUCUCUUAUAC
rnacentral:rRNA from 1 species